UAUCUGCAAAUGCACGACAGCCUGCUCAGCCGCCUGGGGUCUCAGAAUUCUCAGCAGGCAUCAUCCCUCCCGUCUGCAUCAAAUGAUCGACAUCUGACUGAGAUGUUGCUUACUUGUUUUGAUAAACAGAACCUUGGGUCGUCUGGGAUGCAUCUUUGCCGCUUCUUUCCACUCCUGUUUUAUUUUGUCACUCAAUGCAUCAUCAAGAGCCACCUCCUUGAGACGUCCGAGGAGCUCCAUCCUUAUGCCAACGAAACCGUUUACACCCUUACAGAGCAGUUGGAGGGACUCGAAACACGGAAGAGCCUCCUCUUCGAUUUCUAGACCUUCCAUGGAUUGCACUACAAUGCACAUGCGUAGCAGGAUAUUGAGCUGCCCCUUUCUUAUGACAAACUUCUCCAUGUGAGUCGCUAUCAGCUUCAGGUACUGCAAGGAGUGCACCAUGCUCAGGGAAGCAAGUACAUCCCUGGUGAACUUACCAAGGGAUGAAAGGCAUAGCUCAGUGAGACCAGCCAAUGUGGUAACAAAUGGAGGUAGACUGAAUAUGUUGCCUUGUAGCUUCAGUUUACUGAGGUGGCAGGAUUUUUCCAGGGAAAAACUCAGCAAGUCUUCGGA
rnacentral:rRNA from 1 species